UUCCUUUCUGUCCUUGCUGUAGGGGUGAGAAUGGUUAGAUACAGGUCUGUAGUUUGGGGUUACAAUGUGGUUUUAAUUUUCCUUGUAUUUUCUUAUAAAAUAUCAGCACUCCAUUUGCAGAUGUUUCUCAUUUGAUUUCACGGUACUAUUUUCUCAAGGCUUUAUUUCUCCUUUCAAAAUGUGUUACAAGGAUGAUUUUUUAAAAAAGGCUGUGGCCAAUUUGAGGGUAGUUUAAAUUGAACAUUAAAUAAUUUUGUUUGGCAAGUGACUGACCGUCUCUUGAGAAGAGGAUGACUUUAUGGCUAGAUUCAGCAGCCUUCCCCUCCCUGUGAAUGUGAGUCUUUGGUAGCUCAGAGCUCUAAGGCUGGUCUUGACCUGCACACACAGGAGACAAAGGUAGGAACAUCGACAUGAGCUUUGGACAGAGGUUUGUACGUUUGUGAAAUAGACUUUUUUCCACACUUUCUGUGUAGCUUUUUACCUGUAACCUUGACUACGUUGUAAAUUAAAUGAGACUUUUUGCCAUUUGGGCUGGGUUAAUGUUUUAGUCCCCAUCACCUGCUCCCCUGUGGUUAGGAAGUGUUUCCCAUCUCAUGAUGUACUGAUCUGUUCCCAUUUUGGUGCUGCAAAUGAAGAUUCCUGAUGAAGGUGGAAAUUCAAAUUAGCUACGUACGUCCCCCAGCUAGAGCUGAAGGAUGUAAAAUAGGUUAACAUGUACUGACCUUCAUCAUGGAGAGAAAGCUGCUGCAGCCCUGCCCAUCAAGGGUGUAUGCUUGGUGUGAAAAUGUUUUGUACAAAGCUGCCUCCCUGCCCCUUGAGCAGCACCCCCACCUCCUGGGACCAGUUAGGCACGUUUUUGAGGUGGUGUGGUGGUGGAAACAAACUGAAGCCAAAGGUUAAGACAGUGGAGUUUUGCCAUUCAAUAAAAGUAAUAGGUUUUUAGUUAAGCUUGUAUCUCUUGGUAUUCUGGCAUCUAAUUUUAAUAUGGAAUAAAUUGGAUAGAAUAGAGAGAAAUGAACCAUUGAGGGGAGUGGGGAAAGUCUCAGCACUUGCCACCUUUAUAGUAAUUCAUCUAGAGGAUGGCCUUUUUUUCCCACCAAAGAGCCAUUGAUAAGAACCUCCUGGACCCUAGGGAGAAUACUCUUACACAGACCCCCCUUGGUCCAAGCAGCUGAACAGGCUAGAUUUACUGGACCCCAUUAUCAGUUUGCUGAUGGAAAAGUGCCUUCAACUCGGGUCAUUUGGGGUCAGGAGCAGACCCCGGCAUAAAUACUUUUUGAGUGCUGUGAUGCCUGUGACUUUGGGCUCCCAUAGUCAGCAGGGAUAACAUUCCCUUUUAAUUACAAGGGAUUCUGUUAACAGCAACCCAGAAUAUACUGCGCUCUACAUGUGGGGCAUCGACCACAGGAUUGGGAGGGCUGGUUUGGGUUUUUGUUUCCAUUUUUUGGUUUGGUUUUUCCAUUUCCAUUUUUUAACUCUAGAUACUGGACCAGGGGCCAGAGGCAUCUUGACUGCCCCUAGCAUUCCUUCUCCAGCUUCCUGAGUGCUUCUGUAAGAUGCCUCCAUCCUGAAAUGAAAAGCAGUUUCUAGUAGAUGAUCGAAGUUCUCUGAAGAUCUGAUUUCCUCCAAGCCUCCCAGCUCUCUCAUAGCCUCAGACUGUUUGCUUUUCCCUUGAAUUGAAGGAAAAGCACCUAGAAGAACCCAGAGUCCACCACUUAGGUGUCCGAAACAUUUUUCCCUCUAAAAAGUGCCUCUGAUUUGUUGAUACCAAGUCAGUUUCCCCAUUUCACAGUCACAGGACAAAUAACCCGAGGUCAGGAAAAUAUUUUGCGUGGGUGCAAGUGUGUGUUUGUGUGGCAUAUGCACAUGAUUGAUCUAUAGCAGUUUUUUAUAUCUGUAGGAUAUAUGUAUACAGAGCCUCAAAAAUGUGUUUGGGUGAUAAUAGAUUUUCUUGUCCAGGUAAUUAUUAAAAGAAUUUUGAGUUCUGGGCAAGUGGGUUUUUUUUUAAGUUGUGUUGUAUUAAAAGCAGAAUUUUGGGGCCUUUUGUAUUCUGUUCCUCUCUGAUGAGGUGGGCAUUGUCCAGCAAGCCUCCUGGCCUAUGCCUUGAUGGUAAUAAAACUGUUGUGAGAGAUGCACAUGUGGUGUUUCCUUCUGUAUGUGGGGCGAACCUAACGUUUUCCCUCUGCUUUCAUUCUGUCCAUUUCAGGAGCCCAGCUGAAGGAGGAGGUGCCUCAUUCUAUAUUACAGCACCCUGGGGCCAAUGAUGGCAUCUCUGCUGCUCAGCCCUCUCAGCACAGGCUGGGCAUGUUGCUGCGGGAUAAUGGAAUCGUGCCGUUAGCUGUUCAGAUUCAAACUACUUUGUGCAAAAUUCUCUUGUUCAGCAUGGAGCAGAGAGAGACAUGGUCACUCAUAGACCCACUGCCUUUUUAAAGAGAUGUGCUUAUGGAGGAGGUAGACGUGGCGCUCAAGAAGAUGAACAAAUUGGACAAAGCAUGUAUAGAAGAGGUCCGUGCUGGAAGUAACAUAAUUGGGAAGGCAUUGAAGGACCAAUACCCAAAAUAUCUGAAGAAAGGGAAGAUAACAAAGGCAUGGAAAAAAUCUUGGACCUCAUUAAUAGUGAAAAAAGAAAUCCCCUCCAUGGCAUCUCUGACAAGAUUGUUAAGGAAGGUGAAGGCAGUGAGACCCAAGGCACC